rnacentral:rRNA from 1 species
AUUGAACGCUGGCGGCAUGCCUUACACAUGCAAGUCGAACGGCAGCACGGGGCAACCUGGUGGCGAGUGGCGAACGGGUGCGUAAUGCAUCGGAACGUACCUUUCAGUGGGGGAUAACGUAGCGAAAGUUACGCUAAUACCGAAUAUUCUGUGAGCAGGAAAGCAGGGGAUCGCAAGACCUUGCGCUGAUUGAGCGGCCGGUGUCAGAUUGGCUAGUUGGUGAGGUAAAGGCUCACCAAGGCGACGAGCUGUAGCGAGUCUGAGAGGAUGAUCCGCCACACUGGAACUGAGACGCGGUCCAGACUCCUACGGUAGGCAGCAGUGGGGAAUUUUGGACAAUGGGGGCAACCCUGAUCCAGCCAUGCCGCGUGGGUGAAGAAGGCCUUCGGGUUGUAAAGCUCUUUCGGCCGGGAAGAAAUCGCACGGGCUAAUACCCUGUGUGGAUGACGGUACCGGAAUAAGAAGCACCGGCUAACUACGUGCCAGCCGCCGCAGUAAUAC